rnacentral:rRNA from 1 species
CCCUUAGAUGUUCUGGGCCGCACGCGCGCUACACUGAUGCAUUCAACGAGCCUAUCCUUGACCGACAGGUCCGGGUAAUCUUUGAAUCUGCAUCGUGACGGGGAUAGAUUAUUGCAAUUAUUAAUCUUCAACGAGGAAUGCCUAGUAGGCGCAAGUCAUCAGCUUGCGUCGAUUACGUCCCUGCCCUUUGUACACACCGCCCGUCGCUCCUACCGAUUGAAUGAUCCGAUGAAUAUCAUGGAUUGAGGAUGCAAGUAGGUUCGCCUAUCUUCAUCUUCGAGAAGUGAAGUAAAUCUUAUCAUUUAGAGGAAGGAGAAGUCGUAACA